UACGUAGGGUGCAAGCGUUGUCCGGAAUUAUUGGGCGUAAAGAGCUCGUAGGCGGUCUGUCGCGUCUGCUGUGAAAACUCAGGGCUUAACCCUGAGCUUGCAGUGGGUACGGGCAGACUAGAGUGCGGUAGGGGAGACUGGAAUUCCUGGUGUAGCGGUGAAAUGCGCAGAUAUCAGGAGGGAACACCGGUGGGCGAAGG
rnacentral:rRNA from 1 species